UACGAAGGGGGCUAGCGUUGCUCGGAAUUACUGGGCGUAAAGGGCGCGUAGGCGGGUCGUUAAGUUAGAGGUGAAAGCCCAGGGCUCAACCCUGGAAUUGCCUUUGAUACUGGCGGCCUUGAGUAUGGCAGAGGUGUGUGGAACUCCGAGUGUAGAGGUGAAAUUCGUAGAUAUUCGGAAGAACACCAGUGGCGAAGGCGACACACUGGGCCAUUACUGACGCUGAGGCGCGAAAGCGUGGGGAGCAAACAGGG
rnacentral:rRNA from 1 species